CUAGUGUCUCAGUGUCCCCAUGUCUCCCAGUGUCCUUAUGUCUCCCAGCCAGUGUCAGUGUCUGUGUCCCAUGUCUCUGUGUCUCUAGUGUCCCCAUGUCUCCCAGUGUCCCCAAAUGUCUGUGUCCCCAUGCCUCCCAGCCAGUGUCCCUAAUGUCUCAGUAUCCCCAUGUCUCCCAGUGUCCCCUAGUCUCCCAGUGUCUGUGUUAUUGUUAGGAGCAGGUUUGAAG